GAUGAACGCUGGCGGCGUGCCUAAUACAUGCAAGUCGAGCGAACGGACGAGAAGCUUGCUUCUCUGAUGUUAGCGGCGGACGGGUGAGUAACACGUGGAUAACCUACCUAUAAGACUGGGAUAACUUCGGGAAACCGGAGCUAAUACCGGAUAAUAUUUUGAACCGAAUGGUUCAAAAGUGAAAGACGGUCUUGCUGUCACUUAUAGAUGGAUCCGCGCUGCAUUAGCUAGUUGGUAAGGUAACGGCUUACCAAGGCAACGAUGCAUAGCCGACCUGAGAGGGUGAUCGGCCACACGGGAAGUGAGACACGGUCCAGACUCCUACGGGAGGCAGCAGUAGGGAAUCUUCCGCAAUGGGCGAAAGCCUGACGGAGCAACGCCGCGUGAGUGAUGAAGGUCUUCGGAUCGUAAAACUCUGUUAUUAGGGAAGAACAUAUGUGUAAGUAACUGUGCACAUCUUGACGGUACCUAGUCAGAAAGCCACGGCUAACUACGUG
rnacentral:rRNA from 1 species